AAGUCGUAACAAGGUUUCCGUAGGUGAACCUGCGGAAGGAUCAUUACAGAGUUCAUGCCCUUCGGGGUAGAUCUCCCACCCUUGUGUAAUAUUAUCGAAUGUUGCUUUGGCGGGCCGCGAGCCUGGCUUGCCCGGAUUUGCGUUCGGCGUGCCCGCCAGAGAACCCCCAAACUCUGAAUGUUAAUGUCGUCUGAGUACUAUUAAAUAGUUAAAACUUUCAACAACGGAUCUCUUGGUUCUG
rnacentral:misc_RNA from 1 species